CUUCCUCCUGGCAGUCGGUCACUCCUCAGUCCCACUCGUCCUUGCAUUCCCUCUCAUCUCCUCCAUCGUUUGGCGUCAUGUCUCCUGUUUCCACCGCUCUGAUGCUUUUCGUCCUCCUCUGGGUUUGAGACGGUGCUCGGUGCUCGUCGUCUCUGACGGGUUUCGAGCCUCCGCAGAUCGACGGUUCAGCCGUGGACGACAUCUGCCGGAUCUUCCUUGAAAACACUCCAGAACCUGGCGCCGCCUCCACCGCAGCACCGAACGCAGCCUCCCGUACUACGGCCAAGCAAACACGAACAUCAGCUGACACCAAGAAGCCUGCCGUCCAAUCCCAAGAGAGGAAACCAGAAUCCAACCUCUCCAAAGCACCAAUCAGGACUCAGCCGGCUGCAGGAGGCCCAAUCAGCAACCAGCACUCCAAUGACAUCCUCCGCCUCCUAUCCCGACUCCUGGCCAGUCGCAGAGGACACGCCUCCGCUGUUCAGCGGAAUCAUAACCACGUCAGGACCAACAGCAACAACCGCGAAACUUGGAAAGUCGUUUCGUCGUCUUCAGAGGACUCCAGUGACGAGUCUUAAAGACGACGGACAUUUUAGUCUGAACCCGCCUUAUUGAAAUCCUGAUCUCAACCAACUUCGAGGCUCGGAAUUCACCCCCCAAUGGGGGCGGGGUUUUCUAACUUUCUCACCUUCCCGCACUCAAACGUUAAUUGCAAACCUUCUGGAACUGAAGUUUCAGGACCCGGAGUGAUUACGACGGCGGCAGAGUGUUCUAGUUAAUCACGUGUCGAGUUGCAAAACAACAUGUCUGAAUUCUGGAAAAGUGGUCUUAGUUCGUUGCAAGUAUAAACAAAAGCAUUAAGCCCUGUUUCAUUGACAAAACAUGAAUUAGUCUCUACUAAGAACCUGUAACACAGCUUUCAAUAUGAGAAGACAUUUGGAAAUAUGGCUGCUUUCAGUAAAACUGGUCUCUUCCUAGAUCUCUCCUAUGCAGAAAACCAACAAAGUGAUCAUAAGUUAUUGAAAACUGGAACUUUAUACUCCAAAACACUGUACAGAGCUAAAUGCACAACUUGCCUGGUCAAAUAACAUUAAAAAGUUCUUCAAGUUGAAAUUUUGAAUUCCAAAAAAGAUCUGAAUCUUUGCAUCCAACCUGAGCCAGGGUUUGAUUCCCUUCAAAUGACUCUGGUUCCAAAGUCUCCAGUAAAACUGGCAUGAAAAGUCAUUUCAUAACUAUAAAACUAUGAACAUGUCAAACUGUCUGCAGCCAUAGCGAAUGUUCAGUUCAGUAAGUAGAUUCUUGACUUCUGAGGAGGCAGAGGUUUUACAACUCUGACACUGAAAUUCUAAAAACUGGAAUAUACAAGUCUGAACAAGCUCUCAGCAUGUCCAUUCACAGCUGCUGUUAUGCUCAGAAAACACUUCAGUAUGAAGCUGUAUUUGAGCAGAGGAAAACUCAGUAAAAUCUUCCAAAGUAUUGUAAAAACAGCUUCUGCUGCAGUUGAAAAACCUUUUAUUGUUGCCUUCAAAGUAUCAAUGUGCUGUCGGCUGUCUCUGCCAUACAAAUGUUUUAAAAGUAUUCACCCUUGUUUUGUGAAGCUGCUGCUUUGAAAAGAUGUUGCGUAAUAAACAAAUCUGAAUAGCUUUCUCUGUACCAGUCUGUCAAAUUGUUGCUGAUCAACAAUUAUUCGAGUUACAGAAUGAG